GGCUCAGUAGCUUAGUUGGUAAAGAGCUCGUCUAGCCUUCAAGAGUCCUGGAUUCGAAUCCCAGCCGAGCUC
rnacentral:tRNA from 1 species